GCACCUAUAGCUCAACUAGGUAGAGCAACGGACUCUUAAUCCGCAGGUUGUGGGUUCGAUUCCCUCUGGGUGCACAA
rnacentral:tRNA from 1 species